rnacentral:misc_RNA from 1 species
GUUUGGCUAAUUUAUUAAUGGAAAUCAAAAUAUAAGGACAUUCAGGCACAGAUAAAACUAAAGCUAAAGGUAAGAGAGGAAGAGAUUGUGCUUCACCAAUUCCUUUAACUACAGCUUUUGAUCCAUUAGCAAAAGUAACAUUAAAAAAGAUUGAAGGAGAGUUAAGAAUAGAAAAUAUUUUUUUAUUACCAAAAAUGUAAUCGGAAGCACCAGAAUCAAGAAUCCACCCAAUGAAUGAAGAUUGUUAAAUAAGCAAAUGAAUUAUUAAGUUGCAUUGCAAGGACAAUGGAUGACGAUGACUGUUGCUU